UGCCCACGCCUAGGAAUUCCCGGAAACAGGAGGUGCCGCUGACCAGUAAGUGUGUGCCGAUAGUCUCAUUUGAUUGCUCCGUGUCUGACAGGAUUUGUCAAGCAUCCCCUGCUCUGUUUCAGGAAGCAGUCUGCUUAAUAGAUAAACAAGAACCCCCGGGUUUAACUACCAGAGCCAUACAAACCAGCGGUGGUGGUGGACUCAGCGGUGGCAGCAGGAAGACCAGAAGCUCAAGGUCAUUCUCAGUUUCAUAGCAAGUUCCAGACUGGACUACAGGAGACCCUGUCUGGAAAAGAAAAAGAAGAGAAAACAAAAGAAAAAGAACUAUUUCUUUUCUCUUUCAAAAAUGAGAUCUUUUGGACCCCCCUCCCAUAUUCCUCAGCUGAGACAUAAAUAAAAAAUAUCUCUGCUGCAGAAAAUGGAGGUCACCUGAAACCCAGGUCAUCUUCCUCCCAGUUAUAGUGUU